rnacentral:sRNA from 1 species
GAAAUUCAUGGCCACAUGGUCAGGGUUUUUGGUGUUAUGGUUUGCCUCUUGUCAUAUGGUUAAUAUGCAUAAAUUAUUUUAUUCUCAAUUACAUUAUGAAUCUUAUUUUUAAGCAAAUAAUUUUCAUGAUUUAUUUUACAUAAUCAUAAAUUGUAUUAAAUGGCAAUGAGAAAUGAAAUUUACACCUUUGUACCUCAAGUAUAAAAUUAACCCUUUCCCUUUUUCACCGUUUAAAAUAAAUCUUUUAGAUGUGAUACAAGAAUUCACGUCUGUUACUCAGGUGAGUGAUGUGGCCUGUGGCCUUCCAAGUUUAAAUGUGUUCUAACUUGUCUUCCAUGUUUUUAUUACACUGAAAGAUGUUAUGUCUUCGAUUUGGAUUACUGUAUUGUUAAAUAUAAAAAGAUAUCAUGAUAUUCAUUGGUGACAAUUUAACACCUAUAAGUAUAUAAAGAGCAUGUUUUAUUGUAACUGUUCAUCAUACAUUAUCACCAUUAUUUAGGGUCUUCCUCGGAGACCCUAUUGUUUUCGUUAUUGCAUUUUCUGUCUGUAGUUUUAUCAAUUUUUGUAUUGUAUACUCAAGGUCUUCAAAGUUUUUAAUGUUUCUCUGUGAAAAAAAACAGGAGCUGUAUGUAAUCAGAAAAUAAAGUCUUCAAUAUAUUUUUUUUUUCAAUUUUCCUAUGAAUAAUAAAUGACACAG